rnacentral:lncRNA from 1 species
AGUCAGAAUCUCCAAGAUGAACAUAAACAUUCUCAACCUUUAUGCUUCUUUGAUUUGCAAGAAAUCAAACCGAACAAAUCCAGAGAACGGCUAAAGAGAACUAUAACAAAUCUGUCGAGAGUUUAAACAUAAUCCGGUAGGAAAUAAAGCAGGACGUUUUCGUAUUUUAAAUGAGUUUUUCUUCAUUACAGUGCCCUAUUCAUUCAUCACCAUACAAUUCCUGGUAGAAAUGCAGCAGAUACAGGGUUGGGAUUAAGUGAGAAUUAUACAUGAACAAAUCCAUGAAAUUCAUGAAAAAAUCAAUGAAAUCCAUGAACAAAUAAAUGUAUCACAUGAACAACCACAUUAACUGAAUGUGGCUGUUCAUGUGUUACAUUGUUUUGUUCAUUGAUUUUAUUGAUUUAUUCAUGUAUUCUCAUUUCUCACUGGUUCUCCAUUCUCAUUUUAUAUAGUGGUUCUUAUUUGUAACUUCUCCCAAUACAUAUAUCAAUCUAUAGGAAGGUCUACAAUUGUGAAGUUAUAAGGACUCAAAGAGACAGUAAUUUGACUGACUCUAGAUUCAUCCCCAUAUUAUUUAUGCUAUACAUUUCAAAUUUCUAUUACAAAAUUCCUUCAGAAAAUAAAUACCAAAUAACAAUCUGCAUCAGCUCUGAACAGCACAAAACCAUCUGCAAAAUCUACAGUCUAGGGCAGCUACAGGCAUAAAAAAAUCAAGGUUUCUCAGAGAGCUCAUAGUGACAAUUUAUACUAUUUUUUUUGAUUUAUAAUAAAAUUAAUUAACUGAAAUUAAAACAAAAUUAACUGAAAUUACAUACCUCAAACCGGUGGCUGAUUCCCUGCAGAGACGGCGGCGGAGGUGUGAUGGCGAAGGACAGCGGCGGAGGCUGAAUUCCUGCUGGUACAGAUCGGCCGGUGAAGGCAGAUCUUCACGGCAGGGCAGAAGGACGUCGAGGCGGAGGUGGGCGGAGGUCGAGCGACGCGUUAUAAAAUGGUGGCCGGAGACCUCGAUUCAAUGCAAAUCAUAGACCCAAAUCUCUCACCUAAACCUCUCUCGUCCCUCUCCUUUCCAUAUAACCUCCGGAGAGCUGGUGGCCGCGAUUUAGGGACCUAGGGUUUGGAAAAAUAGGUUGUGGUGCUAUCGCUUGAGAUGCGGGCGGCGACGGCUGUAAUUGAGCAGUGGAGAUAGAGAGAAAUGCGGAGGCGCGGCGUGCUGGCUGUGUUGUCGCCAGAGCUGGGUAGGAGAGGCGACGAUUUCACUGUGGUCGACGCGACGCGGUGCGAGGCAACGGUGAGGCUGAGAGAGAUAUGUUUUGGGACUGAGAGAGAUAGCGGCGCGUUACAAACGAGAGAGAGAGAGAG